UUAAGUUCAGCGGGUAUCCCUACCUGAUCCGAGGUCAAAAUUGUGAAGAUAGCUUCUGGGAGCCAAUACGACGGGCCCGAGUUCGCGUUUCUGCUGCGCUCGAAGCCAAUGUACCGGCCGCCAAUAAUUUUGAGGCGAGUCCACGCGCGAGGGGAGGACAGUCACCCAUCACAAGCUGAGCUUGAAGGUUUAAAUGACGC
rnacentral:misc_RNA from 1 species